CACCGUGACGACACACCGACACACACACAACCAGCCAACAGUGAACCACCGCCACGUAACAAACAAACGACAAAACAGAGAAUUACACAUAAGAAAAGGGGGGAAAAAAAGAAAAUUAAAAACAAAGGCUGAAGUUACAAAAUUAAACAAAGAAAUCAAAGGUGGUGAAGGACACAGCUGAUGUUAAAGGCAGGAGGACAAAGAGAAGGAGAGGACAAACAAAUAUGGGCAUCGUUGAAAUGAAAUGUAUGGAGAGGUGAAAAGGGAAGUGAUGGAUGGUGAAAGUGGAGAUGGUCUCAGGGACUGAUACGCAUUAGCUGAUAAUCUAGAGUGACCUUUUUACUCUUUACAUGUGUUUGAAUCUUAUUUUGUGACACAGGAAAUGACUAAGAACAUCUAUUCAGUAUGUUCUAUUGCAUGUCAUUAGCUACUAGCAAACAGCAAUACGCACAUGUAACAGGAUUUGUACUGUGCUGUGCAGCAACAUUUACUCAGACAAUCAAAUAUGUGUUUGUAGUUACAACAAUAUAUGCAAGCUAGCUCAGACAUUCAACUCGUGUCCCACUCUACACUCACAUGGCAUACUUAACAUUUAUAAAAUGCGCUCUUUGGAUCAUGGCGGCGUAACGCUGCUUAAACUGUCAGUGCUCUGCUCACUCUUUUCCAUGCCUACUGCCACGCACAUGGGAGAGGUUUUGCCCUCAGGGCUUUCUGCCAGAAAGCCUUACUACUUGAUUAGGUGUAGGAAAAAAGAGGGGCAGCUGCUGCUGCUUCUGCUGUGUUAUCAUCACUCCUGCUUUAUAGUUGUUGUGCAUUAAAAACUAUUUAUGUUUCAUAUUAGCAAAGUCUACCAUUGCCUUUGGGCAAUGACAAAUUGCACAUUUUUACUUUAAUUGGGUUCCACUAGUACUUUGCUGACAAGUGGAACUGUGCCAACAAUAUCAGUGAAGUCUUUCUCUUACUAUAGCCUUUUAGUUGCCUAGCUACACAAAGAUGGUUAUUGUACAAACUUUGGAAAUCAGACAAACCUUUAUAAUAUCCCAAAUUCUGCACUGCAACAUAUUUCUAUCUAGUUGAUGUCCUAAUUGGCCAUUUAUGUUGGUUGAAAAGAAGGCUAAUGUAGCAUCCCUGUUAGAGGAAAAAGAAGGAGCAAAUGAGAGGUACACUACAUGUAGAAGAGACUGACUGGGGAAGAAUGGUUCCAUAGUGGUAAAUGGACUAUACAGUAUAUACAAGUGAUCAAAGAAGAGAAUGAUGACCAGAAAAGGUGACAACAUGAGAGAGGAGAGAUCAUGUGAAAAACAGAGUUUCCUUUCAGGCUACCCCCACCACCCCACCCCCCUUCAUCCAUCCAUCCAUCCAUCCUACCCCUCAGCAGUUGUUUGAUCUCCCUGCUGGCUUGUGUUGCUGUGAACUGGUAGACGAUGUCCAGC